AGAACGAACGCUGGCGGCAUGCCUAAUACAUGCAAGUCGAACGAACUCUUCGGAGUUAGUGGCGCACGGGUGCGUAACGCGUGGGAAUCUGCCCCAUGGUUCGGAAUAACAGUUGGAAACGACUGCUAAUACCGGAUGAUGACGAAAGUCCAAAGAUUUAUCGCCAAGGGAUGAGCCCGCGUAGGAUUAGCUAGUUGGUGAGGUAAAGGCUCACCAAGGCAACGAUCCUUAGCUGGUCUGAGAGGAUGAUCAGCCACACUGGGACUGAGACACGGCCCAGACUCCUACGGGAGGCAGCAGUAGGGAAUAUUGGACAAAGUGGGACGAAAGGCCUGAUCCAGCAAUGCCGCGUGAGUGAUGAGCUUAGGGUUGUAAAGCUUCUUUACCGAGUAUGAUAAGU
rnacentral:rRNA from 1 species